rnacentral:rRNA from 1 species
ACACAUGCAAGUCGAGGGGCAGCAUGGACUCAGCUUUGCUGGGUUUGAUGGCGACCGGCGCACGGGUGAGUAACGCGUAUCCAACCUGCCCUUUACUCCGGGAUAGUCUCCUGAAAGGGAGUUUAAUACCGGAUGUGUUUGUCUUUCCGCAUGGGAGCGACAAAUAAAGAUUAAUUGGUAAAGGAUGGGGAUGCGUCCCAUUAGCUUGUUGGCGGGGUAACGGCCCACCAAGGCAACGAUGGGUAGGGGUUCUGAGAGGAAGGUCCCCCACAUUGGAACUGAGACACGGUCCAAACUCCUACGGGAGGCAGCAGUGAGGAAUAUUGGUCAAUGGGCGUAAGCCUGAACCAGCCAAGUAGCGUGAAGGACGACGGCCCUACGGGUUGUAAACUUCUUUUAUAAGGGAAUAAAGUUCGCCACGUGUGGUGUUUUGUAUGUACCUUAUGAAUAAGCAUCGGCUAAUUCCGUGCCAGCAGCCGCGGUAAUACGGAAGAUGCGAGCGUUAUCCGGAUUUAUUGGGUUUAAAGGGAGCGUAGGCGGGCUUUUAAGUCAGCGGUCAAAUGUCACGGCUCAACCGUGGCCAGCCGUUGAAACUGUAAGCCUUGAGUCUGCACAGGGCACAUGGAAUUCGUGGUGUAGCGGUGAAAUGCUUAGAUAUCACGAAGAACUCCGAUCGCGAAGGCAUUGUGCCGGGGCAGCACUGACGCUGAGGCUCGAAAGUGCGGGUAUCAAACAGGAUUAGAUACCCUGGUAGUCCGCACGGUAAACGAUGAAUGCUCGCUAUGGGCGAUAUAUUGUCCGUGGCCAAGCGAAAGCGUUAAGCAUUCCACCUGGGGAGUACGCCGGCAACGGUGAAACUCAAAGGAAUUGACGGGGGCCCGCACAAGCGGAGGAACAUGUGGUUUAAUUCGAUGAUACGCGAGGAACCUUACCC